rnacentral:rRNA from 1 species
GACGAACGCUGGCGGCGCGCUUAACACAUGCAAGUCGAGCGAAGCGGCGGACGGGUGAGUAACACGUGAGUAACCUGCCUUAGACAUUGGGAUAGCCUCGGGAAACCGGGAUUAAUACCAAAUGGUCUAAGAUGGACUCGCGUCCCAUUAGCUAGUUGGUGGGUAACGGCCCACCAAGGCGACGAUGGGUAGCCGGCCUGAGGGGGGGACCGGCCAAAUGGGGACGGAGAGACGGUCCAGAAUCUACGGGAGGCAGCAGUGGGGAAUGUUGCACAAGGGGCGCAAGCCUGAUGCAGCCAUGCCGCGUGUGUGAAGAAGGCCUUCGGGUUGUAAACCUCUGUCGCUAUCGAACGGGUAGGUGGAGAAGAAGCGCCGGCUAACUACGUGCCAGCAGCCGCGGUAAUUC